CCCAAUAGCCCAACAAAAAGCCCAGGUUUUCCCCGGGUAGCCUUGGGAGGAGGGAAAGAAGCAGUGGUUUUCUAGGAAUGGUAAUACAGGGUAGGAUAGGAUUGUCUGUCUUUGGUACAAUAAGAAUCUUCAUCGGUAUCAUAUUUUGCCAUUUUGUAGCUAUAUAUAUUCUUAGUUGAAAUGAUAAAUAUUUGCAGCCAUUAGAGAAUUUAAAAGCAGGCAGAAAAUUAUAAAAAAGUAAAAACCUAGGUUCAUAGGAAAAUUUGCUGGCUUCCUUGGACUCAUUAAGCUAAUCAGCAAUAUUAAUUGAAUCAAAGGACUUCAAACCUAUCUAGCACAUAAAAGUGAAGGGAUAAAAAUCCUUCAAUCUAUGACCAUCCAAUAAGCAUCCCCACUUUGAAAAGUUCAGUUUUUAUGACCAUAUGCUAACACUUUACUAGUUAUAGAUGCAAUUUCAAUAUGGAAACAUUUAAAGCAACCAUGUGGGAAGCAUGGUUACUGUAGCUUGCUGCUUUAUGUUCGUUAGAAAGAAGGAAUUCAAGAAAAAGAGACUUUCCUACUUCCCUCUCAACAACCAAUUCAUAAUAAAUGCAUCUUCUUUUCCACCUAUAUAUUAUAUUGUACUGAAAGAUGCUAUGUGAAUUAUGAAAGUGUUUUUCCAAUCAGCCUCUCAAUCAAGCAUUCAAGAAACAGAAAGAUGAGUAGUGAAGCACCAGCACACCAACAAAUGUCCUACUAUGACCACGUCCAGAAACGCCAUGACGAGAAAGGUUGCCUUUAUGCCUGGCUGUUCACGUUGUGUUGCUGCUGUUGCUGCUACGAGACUUGCGAAUGCUGCUUAGAUGGGGUCUGCUGUUGCUGUUCUUAGAUUUCUUUCAUUCCUAUACUAAAUUUAUUGGUUUUGGAACCAAGUUUCUUGUUUCAUGAAAACUUUCUUAAAAGAAAAAAUUCGAUGUGAACAGAGUCUUUCAAUCCCAAGGCCUUUUUUUAUUUUUUAUUUUUUAUUUUUGCUAUUUAGUUGAUUGUUGUACCCAUGUAUCAAACUGCCUCUAAUGAGCAAACAAGUUUGGGACA